AACGAACGCUGGCGGCAGGCUUAACACAUGCAAGUCGAACGCCCCGCAAGGGGAGUGGCAGACGGGUGAGUAACGCGUGGGAAUCUACCCAGAACUUCGGAACAACUGAGGGAAACUUCAGCUAAUACCGGAUACGCCCUACGGGGGAAAGAUUUAUCGGUUUUGGAUGAGCCCGCGUUGGAUUAGCUAGUUGGUGGGGUAAUGGCCUACCAAGGCGACGAUCCAUAGCUGGUCUGAGAGGAUGAUCAGCCACACUGGGACUGAGACACGGCCCAGACUCCUACGGGAGGCAGCAGUGGGGAAUAUUGGACAAUGGGCGAAAGCCUGAUCCAGCCAUGCCGCGUGAGUGAUGAAGGCCUUAGGGUUGUAAAGCUCUUUCAGUGGGGAAGAUAAUGACGGUACCCACAGAAGAAGCCCCGGCUAACUUCGUGCCAGCCGCCGCCGUAAUAC
rnacentral:rRNA from 1 species